rnacentral:rRNA from 1 species
GACGAACCGUGCAAACGUUGUUCGGAAUCACUGGGCAUAAAGGGCGCGUAGGCGGUCGGUCAAGUCUGGGGUGAAAUCCUCCGGCUCAACCGGAGAACGGCCUCAAAUACUGGCGGUCUCGAGGGGGGUAGGGGCAUGCGGAACUAUGCGUGGAGCGGUGAAAUGCGUUGAUAUGCAUAGGAACUCCGGUGGCGAAGGCGGCAUGCUGGACCCUUUCUGACGCUGAGG